UACGGAGGGUGCAAGCGUUAUCCGGAUUCACUGGGUUUAAAGGGCGCGUAGGUGGGCUGGUAAGUCAGUGGUGAAAUCCCCGAGCUUAACUUGGGAACUGCCAUUGAUACUAUUAGUCUUGAAUACUGUGGAGGUCAGCGGAAUAUGUCAUGUAGCGGUGAAAUGCUUAGAUAUGACAUAGAACACCAAUUGCGAAGGCAGCUGGCUACACAAAUAUUGACACUGAGGCUCGAAAGCGUGGGGAUCAAACAGG
rnacentral:rRNA from 1 species